rnacentral:rRNA from 1 species
UGCCAGACGCCGCGGUAAUACGAAGGGGGCUAGCGUUGUUCGGAAUCACUGGGCGUAAAGAGCGUGUAGGUGGCCAUAUAAGUCAGAGGUGAAAGCCCAGGGCUCAACCCUGGAAUUGCCUUUGAAACUAUAUGGCUCGAGUAUCGGAGAGGAGUGUGGAAUUUCUAAUGUAGGGGUGAAAUCCGUAGAUAUUAGAAGGAACACCAGUGGCGAAGGCGGCACUCUGGACGAUUACUGACACUGAGACGCGAAAGCGUGGGGAGCAAACAGGAUUAGAUA